CCUCUCCGGGCCAGUCUCUCCCCCUUCCCUGAACCUGCUGAAGACCCAGAGAAUCUCCUAGACUCUCCCAUUGCUGGCGACUUCAUCCACCAUCAAAGCCUCCGCCAGGGUCCUCAGCCUAACCACUGAAGACUGACGAUGCCCAGAGCCUCCGGCCCCCAUUGCCAUCACUGCAUGGAGCCCAGGGUAACUCUACUGGUAGCAGGUUAAAGAGAGCUCCCACCGCCAAUCCACCGACCUGCACUUCGCCAACUUCUAACCGGUAUUCCAGCCCAUUCCUCGGGCCAACCUGACUCUGCCUCACGUCCAUCCCAGAAGAAACUUCACAUCAGUAAAUCCAUCCGUCUCAAACAGGUUUAAACUACUCUUACAACUAGCCUCCUUUUAUGGAAACACUCUAUUACACCUUAAUUGCAGGCAUUAUAGUACUUAUCCUAUAUAGUGUAACUCCUUUCGAUUGGAAUACCAGCCAAGAAGUCUCCCUCACUUGAGCCUUCUGCCUAAUCGUUAUCCUUAUAGCAGGAAUCACAAUCACUAACAAACAAAUAUUCCCACAUCCUCCCUAGAUGCCCUGCUUUUGUCUAUCCUGCCGCUUCACUCUCUUCCUCACUCCCUCUCACAAGAUAUUUCCCGGUUCCGCCCAUGGAACAACACCCUGGGAACCUUUUUUGAGUGGAUAACUGACCUUUUCUUCCAAGGCUCUCUAUGGCUUCACUCUGGUGAAACCGAACUAUUUACUUUUCUGCUCACUCUCUGCCUUUCUAACCCAUGUCAGAAUCAAUACCUCAACCCUUCUUUCAGCCCAACCAAUACCUAUAACCCCUGAACACCUACACAGAACACUUAAUCUCACACACUCCUUACUAAAAAACUCCAAUUCCUCCCUGACAAGAGACUGCUGGCUCUGCGUACCCCUCCUCACCACAACAUACAAUGCAAUCCCUGCCUCAGCCUAUAACUGACUUGCACCCAUGUAACCUACCAUCCCGAAAUCCUCAUUAACAGCCCCUCGAACUUGACAUGCAGGCAUUAACAGAAAUCUCCCCCACGUUAGCUAGCGAGUUCCAGCUGUUACAACCUUACACCCCUACUUACUCAACCUAUCCCCCUACCGCAGCCAUAAUAAACCCAUAUUAGGAGCCAUAACAACCCACACAAUCUUAUCCUAUCCGGCACCACUGUGCAUCCAACGACAUCUACCCUCUGGCAUUCCCCUCGGCCACCUGAAUUCCAAACUAUACCCUACAACUCAAACCUUCCACUGAACAUACUACUCUCAGAGCCGCCAACAAUAAAGACAGGCACGUUUCUCUAGCCCCCCAGCCCUUGACACCUCCCACCUCCUUAAUAAAAAUUCAGAGUACUGUAACAGCCGACACCUCCCCUGUUUAUUCCUCUUCCCUUGGCUCCCCUCUCCAUGCACCAUUCCUGCACCCACCACCUGCGACUGUCUCCUUAUCCUAACAUUCAACAACACUCCCACAUGGAUCUUAGUGGAUACAAAACGCUUCCUCUUACACUAGGAAAAAAGAACUCAAAAGCCUCCCGGCCUAAACCAAACACCCCUUUACAACCACUUACAGCAGCAGCCCUAGCCAGGACUCUAGGAGUAUGGAUGCAUGAGAAUAACAAAAUAAUACAUCUUUUUAGCAUACACAACCAGCUCUGUCUACCAAGCUAAGGCAUAGUUUUCCUACGUGGUACCUCAACUUAUAUUUGCCUUCCCUCUGACUGGAUGGGCACCUGCACCCUGGUUUUCCUCACUCCAAAAAUCAACGUUGCCCCAGGAGACCAACCCCUACCAAUCCCAGUUAAUACCUCUAUCGGACACCGCCGUGCUAUACAAUUCAUACCUCUGUUAGUAGCCAUUGGAAUAACUACAGGAGUUGGAACUGGGAUUAUAGGAUUAACCACCUCUGUUUCCUAUUACCAGUCCCUCUCCAAAGACCACAGAUAGCUUGGAAGAGAUAGCCAAAUCCAUUACAACUCUCCAAUCACAAAUAGAUUCUUCAGCGGGGAUGGUUCUUCAAAACCGCAGAGGCUUACACCUACUCACAGCCGAAAAAGGAGGACUCUGCCUUUUUCUAGAUGAACAGUGUUGCUUUUAUCUUAACCAAUCUGGCUUAGUACAAGCUGUAAAAAUACUAAAGGACCAAGCACAAAAAAUUAAAUAAAACAUCCCGCAAUGGC